rnacentral:lncRNA from 13 species
AUGGCUCUGUCUACACUCCACAAUCCACAUUCCAUGGCUCGGGGCCCCCCUCUGUCCACACUCCACUGUCUACACUCCACGGCUCUGGGGCCCCUCUCUGUCUACAAUGCACCGCUUUGGGACUCUGUCCACACUCCACGGCUUGGGGGCCCCCUCUCUGUCUACACUCCACAGCUCAGGGCCCCUCUGUCUACAAUGCACAGCUUUGGGACUCCGUGCACACUCCACGGCUCAGGGUCUCCCCUCUGUCUACAAUGCACAGCUUUGGGACUCUGUCUACACUCCACGGCUCUGGGCCACCUCUCUGUCUACACUCCACAGCUCAGGGCCCCUCUGUCUACAAUGCACGGCUUUGGGACUCUGUGCACACUCCACGGCUCGGGGUCUCCCCUCUGUCUACAAUGCACAGCUUUGGGACUCUGUCUACACUCCAGGGCUCGGGGCCCCCCCUCUGUCUACAAUGCACGGCUUUGGGACUCUGUCUACACUCCACGGCUCUGGGCCCCCUCUCUGUCUACACUCCACGGCUCUGGGCCCCCUCUCUGUCUACACUCCACGGCUCUGGGCCCCCUCUCUGGUUACACUCCACGGCUCGGGGCCCCCUCUCUGGUUACACUCCACGGCUCGGGGCCCCCCUCUGUCUACACUCCACGGCUCGGGGGCCCCCUCUGUCUACACUGCACAAUCGCGGCACCGCGGCUAGACGAGCCCAGGUCGCAGCAGUGAGUCCGGAGUUGGGUGUCUGGAGCCAGCCUCUGCCCUAACAAAGCCGCCGCUCGUGGAGUCCGACGAGGGAACCUGGACCCGCCAGCGCCGUCCGGGCCGCGUUCCCGGCGCGCCUGGGCGCUCCUCGCCCGCGGGACCCGCUAUCAGGCAUCGCCCCCGCAGGUCCCCCCGAGGACCCCGGCGGGCCUCACAGCGCGGGCCCGGGGAAGCCGCGCACCCGCCAGGCCAGGAGGCCUCGCAGGCCCGCGCCCCCCGCCCCCCGCCCCGCGCUGGGCCCGGGACCAGGAGCCAGAGUCGGGCGGGCGAACAAAAGGCAGGGCGGGCGGGCGGCGACCCCGAGGGGACCGGGGAUGGCCGGGCGGUGGAGGGCGCGGGCGCGCGCCCCGGAGGCGAAAGAAAGAGCGGGGGCGGCGCGCCCGUCCCCCGCCCCGGCCCCGCACACCUACCGGGCCGCGCCGCUCGCUCCCGCUCCGGGCGCUCCGGCCCGCGCCACCGCCCGCGCGCGCAACGGUCGCCUCAGCAGCCGCCGCCCGCCCAGGGGUCGAGGCGGGGGCGGGGCGGGGGGCGGGACAAGACAGGGGUGGGGCCGGGAGGGGAGGGGCGUGGGGCGUGGGGGCGGGGCCAAGGGACGGGGCGGGGUUGGGCGUGGAGGGGCGGGGCCCGGGGCGGGACGAGGGCCUGCGGUCAGU